rnacentral:rRNA from 1 species
UACGUAGGGUGCGAGCGUUGUCCGGAAUUAUUGGGCGUAAAGGGCUCGUAGGCGGUUUGUCGCGUCGGGAGUGAAAACACUGGGCUUAACUCAGUGCUUGCUUCCGAUACGGGCAGACUAGAGGUAUGCAGGGGAGAACGGAAUUCCUGGUGUAGCGGUGAAAUGCGCAGAUAUCAGGAGGAACACCGGUGGCGAAGGCGGGUCUCUGGGCAACAACUGACGCUGAGGAGCGAAAGCGUGGGGAGCGAACAGG